AACCUUAUGGACCUGCGGGCGUAUACCUGCGGAAGGAUCAUUAUUGAAAUACAUUUGGUUAGGUUGCUGCUGGCUUUUAGGAGCAUGUGCACACCUAUUCCAUCUUUAAUCCCCUGUGCACUUUGUAUUUGGCCUGAAUACUUUUCGAGUAACCAAGUUUUGGACUCGGCCUGAGAACUGCUGUGUUGAAAUAGUCAGCCCAGCUUUUCUUGUUUUUUCAGGUCUGUAUUUUUAUACACC
rnacentral:misc_RNA from 1 species